UUGAAAUAAAUACGUAUAACCAAUUUAUUAUUAUUAGUUAGAUACAAAUUUGUAAUUGAUGUAAAUUUACAUAGAUGAGGUUCUGUUUCUCCUCGGUUCUGUACCCUUUACUUAGGGGGCUGAUCCUGGACAUUUUAAAGAGAGAUCAAAUACCUUUUUUCUUUUUUUAUUACUGGUCGAAAGGGAUGGCUUCCUCCAAAAUAUAGCGCAGCAGAUGGGGUUAAUGUAUUCAUAGGCCUUUACUAAAAGCAAUUUAGAUUUUAUUUUACAUACAUUUUAAAUAAGCGAACUUCGUUUCUGCGAAUACGCUGUUCGUUUCUCGGAGUAGGUUGUUCGUUUCUGCGAAUACGCUGUCCGUUUCUGCGCGUAGGUUGUUCGUUUCUGUGAGUAGGUUGUUCGUUUGUAACUGUAAAUUUGGCGGCGAUUGCCUUCCAUAGACAAGGACACAAGUGAAAUGCACGGUAAAACCCGUAAACGUAAUGAAACAACAGGAGCAUUAAUUCACACCAUUUUGGUCUACUUACCACUUUUUGAUCGGUUGUCGUUAAUGUAGUUUGAGCAAUGCCCUUUCCCCAGACUCAUCACACGAGCCUGGCCUCCUGUACGAACUCGAGUGACCAAGCUUCCCACAUUACGCAGUACACACGAAUACAUGCUUUUGGUACAGUUUCAGUGCUAACAAAAUUACGGUAAUAAAUACAGUCCGCCUUCUUUUCGAACAACACUAAGCCCAAAUCAGUUUAUCGCCUAUCUACAGGCCUAGGCCCACUUCUCGAACUUCUAUCUUCACGAAACCGCGGCAUACAGAGCCCACUACAGUUUAAUAGCAGUAAGUAUGGCAUGUAAGUAUGACACUCUAGUCUUUGGGAUGGUCCUCGGUGGAUAUCCUUUCAUUAUCUUGUAUACAUUGGUGGCGUGAUUGCGCUCUGUAUGGUGACGUAUUUGCAUUUGAUUGUUUAUGCCCCACAAAAAAAAA